rnacentral:rRNA from 1 species
GACGAACCGUGCGAACGUUGUUCGGAAUCACUGGGCUUAAAGGGCGCGUAGGCGGGCGACCAAGUCAGGGGUGAAAUCCUCCGGCUCAACCGGAGAAUAGCCUUUGAUACUGGUCACCUCGAGGGAGGUAGGGGCAUGUGGAACUUCCGGUGGAGCGGUGAAAUGCGUAGAUAUCGGAAGGAACGCCGGUGGCGAAAGCGACGUGCUGGACCUCUUCUGACGCUGAGGCGCGAAAGCUAGGGGAGCAAACGGG